UACGUAGGGGGCAAGCGUUGUCCGGAAUCAUUGGGCGCAAAGCGCGUGUAGGCGGCCCGGUAAGUCCGCUGUGAAAGUCGGGGGCUCAACCCUCGAAUGCCGGUGGAUACUGUCGGGCUAGAGUGCGGAAGAGGCGAGUGGAAUUCCUGGUGUAGCGGUGGAAUGCGCAGAUAUCAGGAGGAACACCAAUAGCGAAGGCAGCUCGCUGGGACGGUACUGACGCUAAGGCGCGAAAGCGUGGGGAGCGAACAGG
rnacentral:rRNA from 1 species